CCCACUCCUGUCUGUCACGGUCCUGUUCCUAAAGAAGGGUCGCCGCGGCCUUUUUUCGGGGCUGCAAGAAAAGCAAACGGAGCCAAAGGAAGGCCUGCGCGCGCCUGCGCAGAAACGUGUGUCAAUGGGAGGGAGGGAGGGAGGGAGGGAAUGAGGGAAGGGGCCGCUUCCCUUUAAAUAUGCAAAUAAACUCUGCAGGGGGCGGAGUUAAGAGAGCCAGCUAACCUACCUGUUUCCCGGGCGGCCAAUCAGGAGCGCGGCUGCUCCGUGAGGGCGGGAGAGAGGCGAUGGCGUCAUGCAGGCCCCGCCCCCUCUGCGGCUGCCUCUGUUUCCGGAAGGAAGAGAGAGAGAUCGAGGAAGGAAGGAAGGAAGGAAGGAAGGAAGGAAGGAAGGAAGGAAGGAAGGAAGGAAGGAAGGAAGGAAGGAAGGAAGGAAGGAAGGAAGGAAGGAAGGAAGGAAGGAGAAGGCCUUGGAUCUCUUCCUCGCCAGGGAAAGGAGGAUUCCGUGGAGCCACCUCUUGGAUGCAGUCAUGAAAUCAGAAAUAUAAAAAGAAGAAAUCAUCUCCAGAUGAUGGUGUGGCUGAAUUCUUGACCUCACUUACAGAUAACAAAGGAAAAAAGAAGAUUCGAGUAUCUGUAUUACAAUUAAACCCCGGUAUCUCUGUUGACAUGGAGGAGAAAGCAUCUAAAUGCCUGGAAUGUGGAAAGAGUUUCACUCAGAGGGAACAUCUGCAGCAACAUCAAAGGACUCACACUGGGGAGAAACCUUAUCCAUGCCUGGAGUGCGGACAGAGCUUCUCUCAGAGUGCAGAUCUACAUAAACAUCAAAGGACUCACACCGGGGAGAAACCUUAUACAUGCCUGGAGUGCGGACAGAGUUUCUCUCAGAGUGGAAGCCUGCGUUCACAUGAAAGGAUUCACACUGGGGAGAAACCCUAUGCAUGCCUGGGGUGUGGAAAGAGCUUCACUCAGAGUGCACAUCUACAUUCACAUCAAAGGACUCACACGGGUGAGAAACCCUAUACCUGCCAGGAGUGUGGACAGAGCUUCACUGAGAGUAGAAGUCUACGUUCACACCAAAGGACUCACACUGGGGAGAAACCCUAUACAUGCCUUGAGUGUGGAAAGAGCUUCACCCAGAGUG